AUCACAAAUACAGAGAAUUUCGAUUUGUCUGUUGAUAGUCCCUUUGGCUUAGACUUCAGCGCUAUACCGGAUUUUAAUAAUAUUUUGGAAUUGGCGCCAGAUUAUGCCACAAAAAUGGAUGAUGCGACGGCUGAUGGUAUUCUACGGGAUAUAUUGAACAAACCUGAUUAUUGUCACAACACCUCUAUACAGAACAGCAAUGUUGUUGAUGAGCAACCGUUUUUCCCACACGCUACAGGGGGUCGUGCUAAAACAUUCGAAUAUAAAGCAGAUGAUGCUGUAGCAAUGCGCUAUGCACCGACGAUACCAACAUGCAGUGAUACAGUAGCGCAAAUACACCGUCUUAGUACAAGCGGGAAAAUAUCAAAACGCACAACCGCCGCUGAAACGGAAAGCCAUCAAUUCGCAGCAGCAGAUGACGCUGUAGCAAGACGCUAUGCUCCUUUGAUACCAACAGUCAGUGAUACAUGCGCGCAGAUACACAGGCCUAGUACAAGCGGGAAAAUAUCAAAACGCACAACCGCCGCUGAAGCGGAGAACCAUCAAUUCGUAACGCCGGCAAUUGUACAUAAGGGCGUUGCUAGGUCA